rnacentral:rRNA from 1 species
AUUGAACGCUGGCGGCAGGCUUAACACAUGCAAGUCGAGCGGAAACGAUGAUAGCUUGCUAUCAGGUGUCGAGCGGCGGACGGGUGAGUAAUACUUAGGAAUCUACCUAGUAGUGGGGGAUAGCUCGGGGAAACUCGAAUUAAUACCGCAUACGACCCACGGGAGAAAGGGGGCAACUUGUUGCUCUCGCUAUUAGGUGAGCCUAAGUCGGAUUAGCUAGAUGGGUGGGGUAAAGGCCUACCAAGGCAACGAUGCGUAGCCGACCUGAGAGGGUGAUCGGCCACACUGGGACUGAGACACGGCCCAG